UACGUAGGCAGCGAGCGUUGUUCGGAGUUACUGGGCGUAAAGGGUGUGUAGGCGGUUGUUUAAGUUUGGUGGGAAAUCUCCCGGCUCAACUGGGAGGGUGCGCCGAAUACUGAAUGACUUCGAGUGCGGGAGAGGAAAGUGGAAUUCCUGGUGUAGCGGUGAAAUGCGUAGAUAUCAGGAGGAACACCGGUGGUGUAGACGGCUUUCUGGACCGUAACUGACGCUGAGACACGAAAGCGUGGGUAGCAAACAGG
rnacentral:rRNA from 1 species